UUGGUUGAUCAUGUUUUUUGUUUUGUUUUGAAAGAUGGUUCAUCAUGCUAAGUGUCCCCCUCAAACUAAAUGCAUAUGAUAUGAUACAACUAUUUUCUUCUUUGCGCUUAGAUAAAUUGCAAACCUACCUAAGAUUCAAUUCCUUCUACCACCAUCUUAAUCCUUAUUCAAUAAACCUACCUAAGAUCAGCCAUAAGAUUUAAAUCAAUAUUGACAUUCGUUUCCAUUAUUCAAUCUAGACAAAGGCUGCCAUAAACUCAGUUUGAUUAUAGAUAUAGUAUAUGGUCGAUCUGCAAGGAGCAACUUGAUGCAGCUUCAGCUGUUGAUAAUUUUUAUUUUUUCCACCGUAAUUUCCUUGAUUAAUUCGAAGAAGCGCUAGAAGCAAACAGAAAAAUAAUGGUACAGCAAAGAGAAAAUAAAGACAACUAUUACAAGGAGUUAAAAGGAUUUAGUCACCAUAUGAUAGUCAAAAGCAAGGAAGUAAUUUUUUCCAUUCAACCAGUCAAAAGAUUGCGCAUAUGUUUUCAAGCAAGUGGUGGAUAUUAUCACUCUUAUUUUUGAAGAUUCUUGCAUUUCAUUUUUCCAUAACACCAAAACUGGACAAAACCAAAUUAAGCGAAUAAUCUUGCGCUUGUGUGCAGAGAAACCUCCAAAGGAUCCGAACUGAGAUAAAUGAUCUACAAUUCGGAACUGAGUAACCAUGGUGAAGUCUAACCAAUCGGAAACAACGAUCCAAAUUUGACGGAAAAAGUCAUAGUGAAGAAAAAGAUGAGUUGAGUCUUUUAGAUUACCACACCCCUCUUAUACAAGAUUGAUUGAGAAGUAGUCGGUAUCACCCCUCUCUUUUUUUAAUGAGCCAUCGAUCACACACCUUUGUAAUGUGUAAUCAAUUCAAGAGUAAAUGCCUCGUUGGUGUAAAAAAAAAAAUAGUAAAUGUCAUAUAAACAAAGUUCCUUAAACCCA